CUGGGUGCUCCUGGGCAACAUCCUACGUCCGAGGCUAUUCUUUUCCAGCCUUAUUUGCCGAGAGUGCUCACUUCCUUCCAGAGUUUUACUGCACUCCAUUUAUCAAUUGGACUUGACAACAAAAGAAAGAACGGGGGGAAAACCUGGGGCAGAUUCAAGUCACUUCCACUCUGUAUGAAGGAAGGGGGAGUUCCUUACGGGCACGGUGCGGGUUGUCAGUCCCGCUGCAGCGGCGGCAGCUUUUGUGCGAUGCUUCUCCCUCUGCCCCCCGAUCCUUUCACUGUCACGGCCUCGGAAGAACACAGCGGGCACGGCGACACGGAAGCCCGGCUCUGCCCUGCACCGACACGUUCCGGCGACACGUUCCGCGCUUCCAGAGAACACACAGAAAUUAAAAAAGUUUGUUAAAAUCGUCUUUCUAGGAGGCGAGGGCACUUCCGCGUAUCGCCCCGUUCUAUCCAACGUGCCAAAGAGCGCGGCGGUUCAAUAAAAGCCACCCGAGAUACCGACCCGGCUGCGGGACCAACGGAGCACCGCUCUGGGGGCGGGGAGGGCGUCGGAGAAAGGCGGCCCGUGGGGAGAGGGCCGCUGGGGGCCGCCCGGCGCGGGGUCCGGGGGUGGCGGUGCGGGGAAGGAGAAGGUGAAGGCGAAGGACGGGGUUCGGCGGGGCCGAGAGCGAGCGGGGAAAGUCCUUCCCCACGCCCACCCCUCCCCGAGCGGCGCCUGUUCUGGUCGGAGUCCAGGUCAGGAAUUGGCCGCGACCCCUGAAGCACUUGCCUUGUUCUUCACUUGUCAAACGUGUUUUAUCUCUAAGUGACCUUUUUGUUAAUGUUGUAGAUUGUGUGGGCCACCAUGUCAGAUCCGGAAACAAAAGUAAAAGAUUGAUUAACACGUUUUGCCUGUGGAAAAAAAAAAAAUUGUUACGGGAUGAGGAGGUGGGGAAGAGCGGGACGGGAAGUACAAAGGGGAGAGCGGCGGGCGGCGCGGGGAGCGGCAGAAGGGCCGCGGGCAGCGCUCACGCUG
ensembl:lncRNA